rnacentral:rRNA from 1 species
AACGAACGCUGGCGGCGUGCCUAACACAUGCAAGUCGUGCGAGAAAAGGGGGGCAACUCCCUGAGUAAAGCGGCGAACGGGUGAGUAACACGUAGGUGACCUACGCUUGAGUCCAGGAUAACCUACCGAAAGGUGGGCUAAUACCGGAUAUGACCACGGGAGCCUCGGCUCCUGCGGUGAAAGGUGGCCUCUGCUUGCAAGCUACUGCUCAUGACUGGGCCUGCGUGCCAUUAGCCAGUUGGUGAGGUAACGGCUCACAAAGGCUAUGAUGGCUAGCUGGUCUGAGAGGACGAUCAGCCACACUGGGACUGAGACACGGCCCAGACUCCUACGGGAGGCAGCAGUGGGGAAUCUUGCGCAAUGGGCGAAAGCCUGACGCAGCGACGCCGCGUGCGGGAAGAAGGCCUUCGGGUUGUAAACCGCUUUCAGGAGGGACGAGGCCACUCGGGUUAACAGCCCAGAGGGUGACGGUACCUCCAGAAGAAGCCCCGGCUAACUACGUGCCAGCAGCCGCCGUAAUAC